rnacentral:rRNA from 1 species
UUAAGAUACUAAGAGCAUACGGUGGAUGCCUUGGCGAUAUCUGCCGACGAAGGACGUGACAAGCUGCGAAAAGCUGCGGAGAGAUGCAAAUAAUCGGCGACCCGCAGACAUCCGAAUGGAGCAAUCCGGCUGUGAUGAUACACAGCCAUCCAUGCCCAAGAGCAUGAGAAGGGAACCGGGCGAACUGAAACAUCUAAGUAACCCGAGGAAAAGAAAUCAAACGAGAUACCCCAAGUAGCGGCGAGCGAACAGGGAAGAAGCCCAAACCGGUGAAGGAAACUUUGCCGGGGUUGAGGACCAUCAGACCCGCGAAGAACUUUAGCCGAAACUGUUGGGAAACAGUGCCGAAGACAGUGAAAGCCUGGUAGGCGAAAAAGAGAAACGCGGAGAUGGCACCAGAGUACCGCGGGACACGAGAAAUCCCGUGGGAAGCCGGGGGGACCACCCUCCAAGGCAAAACACAGAUAUCGACCGAUAGCGCAUAGUACCAUGAGGGAAAGGUGAAAAGCACCCCGGGAGGGGAAUGAAAGAGAACCUGAAACCGUAUGUUUACAAGCAGUCGGAGACCGCUUAAUAAUAAGGUCGACGGCGUGCCUAUUGAAGAAUGAACCGGCGAGUUACGAAGCCUGGCAAGGUUAAGCAGGAAAUGCGGAGCCGAAGCGAAAGCGAGUCUUAAGAGGGCGCAAGUCAGGAAGCGUAGACCCGAAACCACAGUGAUCUACCCAUGUCCAGGUUGAAACACAGGUAAAAAUGUGUGGAGGACCGAACCUAUAUCCGUUGAAAAGGGUUAGGAUGAGGUGUGGGUAGGGGUGAAAUUCCAAUCGAACGUGGAGAUAGCUGGUUCUCCCCGAAAUAGCUUUAGGGCUAGCCUCAGGGAAAAGAUUGCAGGCGGUAGAGCACUGAUCAGGAGAGGGACCUACCCGGUUACCAAACCCAGUCAAACUCCGAAUGGCUGCAAUCAUACCUGGGAGUCAGACUGCGACUAAUAAGGGCCGCAGUCAAAAGGGAAACAGCCCAGACCAUCAGCUAAGGUCCCCAAUGCCGUGCUAAGUGGCGAAGGAUGUGGCAUUUCAUAAACAACCAGGAUGUUGGCUCAGAAGCAGCCACCAUUUAAAGAGUGCGUAAUAGCUCACUGGUCGAGAGACGCUGCGCCGAAAAUGUCCGGGGCUCAAGCACGGAACCGAAGCUAUGGCAUGAUAGCAAUAUCAUGGGUAGGGGAGCGUUCUUAUAAGGAAGAAGCAUGACCGGAAGGACAUGUGGACAAAUAAGAAGUGAGAAUGCCGGUAUGAGUAUCGAAAAGAAAGGUGAGAAUCCUUUCCACCGAAAGCCCGAGGGUUCCUGAGCAACGAUCGUCGACUCAGGGUAAGUCGGGACCUAAGCCGAGGCGGAAAGCGUAGGCGAUGGACAACAGGUUGAAAUUCCUGUACCGGAUCAAGUCGAUCGAGCGAAGGAGCGACGCAGGAGGGCACAUGAUCGCGCGGCUGGAAGAGCGCGUCCAAGUGCGUAUGUUGCAGCAGAGGAAAGCCCCUGCAGCUAAAAGCAGAGACAUGAUGGGGAGUUAAAGGAAACUUUGACGAACUCAUGGAUCCCACACUGCCAAGAAAAACUUCUAGCGAGACAAGAUCCGCCCGUACCGUAAACCGACACAGGUAGGCGGGGAGAGAAUCCUAAGGUGCGCGGGAAAACCCUCGUUAAGGAACUCGGCAAAUUGCAUCCGUAACCUAGGGAGAAGGAUGGCCCCCGGUCAGUGAAGAGCAGAAACGCUCAGAGCUAAAAGGGGCGGCAGAAAAGAGGCCCAAGCAACUGUUUACCAAAAACACAGGUGCCUGCGAAAGCGAAAGCUGAAGUAUAGGUGCUGACGCCUGCCCGGUGCCGGAAGGUUAAGGAGAGAAGUUAGCGAAAGCGAAGCAUCGAACUGAAGCCCCGGUGAACGGCGGCCGUAACUAUAACGGUCCUAAGGUAGCGAAAUUCCUUGUCGGGUAAGUUCCGACCCGCAUGAAAGGCGUAAUGAUUUGGGCACUGUCUCAACGAGGGGCCCGGUGAAAUUGAAAUACCUGUGAAGAUGCAGGUUACCCGCGACUGGACAGAAAGACCCCAUGGAGCUUCACUGCAGCUUGAGAUUGAAUCCCGGUGACAGAUGCACAGGAUAGGUGGGAGGCGCCGAAGCAUUGCCCUAGGGCGGUGCGGAGCCGAUGUUGGGAUACCACCCUUCUGUUGCUGAGAUUCUAACGCGAGGAGUAACGACCCUGCGGACCCUCUCAGGCAGGCGGUUUGACUGGGGCGGUCGCCUCCGAAAGAGUAACG